AUUGAACGCUGGCGGCAGGCCUAACACAUGCAAGUCGAGCGAGAGGGGGACGGGUGUGUGAUGUCUGGGAAACUGUCCGUUGGGGGGGGAUAACUCCAGGAAACGGUAGCUAAUACACCAUACCCCAAGGGGUGCCCACAUGUGAUUAGAUAGUAGGUGGGGUAAAGGCUCACCUAGGCGACGAUCCCUAGCUGGUCUGAGAGGAUGACCAGCCACACUGGAACUGAGACACGGUCCAGACUCCUACGGGAGGCAGCAGUGGGGAAUAUUGCACAAUGGGCGCAAGCCUGAUGCAGCCAUGCCGCGUGUGUGAAGAAGGCCUUCGGGUUGUAAAGCACUUUCAGCGGGGAGGCGUUACCCGCAGAAGAAGCACCGGCUAACUCCGUGCCAGCAGCCGCGGUAAUAC
rnacentral:rRNA from 1 species